GGUGGGAGACAGUGUCAGGUGGGCAGUUUGACUGGGGCGGUCGCCUCCUAAAGAGUAACGGAGGCGCCCAAAGGUUCCCUCAGAAUGGUUGGAAAUCAUUCGCAGAGUGUAAAGGCACAAGGGAGCUUGACUGCGAGACCUACAAGUCGAGCAGGGACGAAAGUCGGGCUUAGUGAUCCGGUGGUUCCGCAUGGAAGGGCCAUCGCUCAACGGAUAAAAGCUACCCCGGGGAUAACAGGCUUAUCUCCCCCAAGAGUCCACAUCGACGGGGAGGUUUGGCACCUCGAUGUCGGCUCAUCGCAUCCUGGGGCUGUAGUCGGUCCCAAGGGUUGGGCUGUUCGCCCAUUAAAGCGGUACGCGAGCUGGGUUCAGAACGUCGUGAGACAGUUCGGUCCCUAUCCGUCGUGGGCGCAGGAAAUUUGAGAGGAGCUGUCCUUAGUACGAGAGGACCGGGAUGGACGCACCGCUGGUGUACCAGUUGUCUUGCCAAAGGCAUCGCUGGGUAGCUAUGUGCGGAAGGGAUAAGUGCUGAAAGCAUCUAAGCAUGAAGCCCCCCUCGAGAUGAGAUUUCCCAUCACUUUAUGUGAGUAAGAUCCCUGAAAGAUGAUCAGGUAGAUAGGUCUGAGGUGGAAGCGUGGCGACACGUGCAGCUGACAGAUACUAAUCGAUCGAGGACUUAACCAC
rnacentral:ncRNA from 1 species